GCUAUACUCCACUCACUCCCAACACAGAAUGGAAUGCUCACAUGAACUGGGAAGCAACUCACUGCGUCAGACCAGACAUUCAAGUGCGUUCCCCAUGUUUAUUUCCAUCAGCAUCAUUCAGUUCCAAAGCACAGCAAGGGGGCCAGCAAGACCAUCAGGAGGCGGGGCCAGCUUGAGUUCAGUCCACACAUUGUCUUCUGAGCCCCAGACUCGUGCUGUGGUAUGUCUGCCCUAUCCCCCACACAAAUGUGUAAUUAAAAAAAAAAAUAGCUAGAGACAAUCAUACUUGUCCAGCUUGGUCUGCUGCCAAGGCUUCAGCUGAAAUGAAAAGCUCUUGGGAACACAGUGGCACUUGGCCCACACCACAUCUGGCUGUUACCAUGCCUGGGUGCUAGAAGGCUAUCUGCCUGGCCACACCCAGGACUAAGCAACCAAAGGCUGACAGGCCCUUCUUCAGCAAGUCUUCUGUGACCCAGUUAUAGGAAACCCAGGGAGAGUCCUGAGAAAGCAGAUCACAAUCUCAGGUCCCUUGGCUAUCAGUAAGCUUCCAGUCUAGAGAUGUUAAUUAAAAAUAACUUGCUGUGGUUAGCAUUUAAAUUUUUUCCAUUUAAUAAGAUUUUCACUUUGUAUGAGAAAUUUAGAAUCCAUAUAAACUGAUUUUGCAACC
rnacentral:lncRNA from 1 species